rnacentral:lncRNA from 1 species
CAAAGUAAUCCUACAAACAGUGAAAAUAUGAGCUUUCUAUUCCAGCCAUAAAGAAGCGCAGCUUUCCUCAAAGGACAAUGGAUUGUGGCAGGCUUUCCCUGACUCAAACCGGAAUUAUCCUGCCAUCUAGUGGCCAGUGGCCCUAAUCGUGCCUGUCUAGUAUUCUCCUCCUCCUCUGGAAUGCCAGGCAAGGACCUCUGGUUCAACCCAGAGAUUCAAUGCAAGCUCACCGCCUAGGGGAGAGAUUUCCUGAAACACUCGGACCGCCUCCUUUCUCUCCAGUGGGACCGCCUCCAGCCCAGCUCUUCCAACGAAGCCUUCAGCUUCCCCCUUCCUUCCCUUGGAAGCUCCUCUCUGCGCCCCGCCCCUACGUAGACCAGCGGCCACGUGUGUUUGACAGAUGCCAGCAUAAGACAAUAGAAAUGGGAGCGUGCGGGCACAUGGCUGAUUAAAAGCAAUCCAGGAGCUCAGAAACAGCUCGCUAUUGCUGGCAUAUACACUCUACAGUCUCGAUAUCCACAGGCCUCCCUACACCCGCACUGCUCUUUAGGCUAACUCCUUUCACAACUACAUGCAUAAAUAUACAUCGGCCCUAACCCUAACCCAAAAGUAAAGAAAAACCGUAUCUACAGAUGACUUCCUCAAGAGAAGCCUUUAUUCACAGUAACUAGUAACUCGACAAAAAUGCCCACCAACUGGGAAAUUGAGUAAACAAAUUGUGGUAUAUAAUCCAGUUCUACUCCACAACAAAAAGAAACCAAGGCAGAAUAAUAAC